rnacentral:rRNA from 1 species
UACAGAGGUCUCAAGCGUUGUUCGGAUUCAUUGGGCGUAAAGGGUGCGUAGGUGGCGCCGUAAGUCAGGGGUGAAAUCCUGGAGCUCAACUCCAGAACUGCCUUUGAUACUGGGGAUCUCGAGUCCGGGAGAGGUGAGUGGAACUGCGAGUGUAGAGGUGAAAUUCGUAGAUAUUCGCAAGAACACCAGUGGCGAAGGCGGCUCACUGGCCCGGUACUGACGCUGAGGUGCGAAAGCGUGGGGAGCAAACAGG